AUCGCUUCUCGGCCUUUUGGCUAAGAUCAAGUGUAGUAUCUGUUCUUAUCAGUUUAAUAUCUGAUACGUCCCCUACCCGGGGACCAUAUAUUAAAUUGAUUUGUGGAGCAGGGAGAUGGAAUAGGGGCUUGCUCCGUCCACUCCACGCAUCGACCCAGUAUUGCAGUACUUCUGGGAACGGUGCACCCCCU
rnacentral:snRNA from 1 species